rnacentral:lncRNA from 1 species
AUCACUGGUAUCAUGAAGGAAGGUGAUGUUUGCAUCGUGGACAGAGGUUUUAGGGAUGUGAUACCCUACCUAAAAAUCAAGGAUUCAAGGUUCUUAUGCAUGCCUUAGAAGGAAAAAGGUCUAAUUUAAGUGCGAUUGAAGCAAAUAAAUCUUCCUUCGUCACAAAACUGAUAUGGGUUUUAGAGGCAAUCCAUAGCAUCCUUAGCAAAAAAUACAAGUCCUUUCACCAGCAAUUGGACAAUAGACUUAUACCAAAA